rnacentral:rRNA from 1 species
UGGGGAAUUUUGGACAAUGGGCGAAAGCCUGAUCCAGCAAUGCCGCGUGUGUGAAGAAGGCCUUCGGGUUGUAAAGCACUUUUGUCCGGAAAGAAAUCCUUGGCUCUAAUACAGUCGGGGGAUGACGGUACCGGAAGAAUAAGCACCGGCUAACUACGUGCCAGCAGCCGCGGUAAUACGUAGGGUGCAAGCGUUAAUCGGAAUUACUGGGCGUAAAGCGUGCGCAGGCGGUUUGCUAAGACCGAUGUGAAAUCCCCGGGCUCAACCUGGGAACUGCAUUGGUGACUGGCAGGCUAGAGUAUGGCAGAGGGGGGUAGAAUUCCACGUGUAGCAGUGAAAUGCGUAGAGAUGUGGAGGAAUACCGAUGGCGAAGGCAGUCCCCUGGGCCAAUACUGACGCUCAUGCACGAAAAGCGUGGGGGAGCAAAACAGGAUUAGAUACCCCUGGUAGUCCACGCCCCUAAAACGAUGUCAACUAGUUGUUGGGGAUUCAUUUCCUUAGUAACGUAGCUAACGCGUGAAGUUGACCGCCUGGGGAGUACGUCGCAAGAUUAAAACUUAAAGGAAUUGAC